rnacentral:rRNA from 1 species
UACGAAGGGGGCUAGCGUUGCUCGGAAUUACUGGGCGUAAAGCGCACGUAGGCGGAUUGUUAAGUCGGGGGUGAAAUCCUGGAGCUCAACUCCAGAACUGCCUUCGAUACUGGCGAUCUCGAGUUCGGGAGAGGUGAGUGGAACUGCGAGUGUAGAGGUGAAAUUCGGUAGAUAUUCGCAAGAACACCAGUGGCGAAGGCGGCUCACUGGCCCGAUACUGACGCUGAGGUGCGAAAGCGUGGGAGCAACAGGG